AUACAGAGGGUGCGAGCGUUAAUCGGAAUUACUGGGCGUAAAGCGCGCGUAGGCGGUUAUUUAAGUCAGAUGUGAAAUCCCUGGGCUCAACCUAGGAACUGCAUCUGAAACUGGAUAACUAGAGUUUAGGAGAGGGGAGUAGAAUUUCGGGUGUAGCGGUGAAAUGCAUAGAGAUCCGAAGGAAUACCAGUGGCGAAGGCGACUCCCUGGCCUAGAACUGACGCUGAGGUGCGAAAGCGUGGGUAGCAAACGGAAUUAGAAACCCUAGUAGUCC
rnacentral:rRNA from 1 species